AAGUCGAGCGAACAGACGAGGAGCUUGCUCCUCUGACGUUAGCGGCGGACGGGUGAGUAACACGUGGAUAACCUACCUAUAAGACUGGGAUAACUUCGGGAAACCGGAGCUAAUACCGGAUAAUAUAUUGAACCGCAUGGUUCAAUAGUGAAAGACGGUUUUGCUGUCACUUAUAGAUGGAUCCGCGCCGCAUUAGCUAGUUGGUAAGGUAACGGCUUACCAAGGCAACGAUGCGUAGCCGACCUGAGAGGGUGAUCGGCCACACUGGAACUGAGACACGGUCCAGACUCCUACGGGAGGCAGCAGUAGGGAAUCUUCCGCAAUGGGCGAAAGCCUGACGGAGCAACGCCGCGUGAGUGAUGAAGGUCUUCGGAUCGUAAAACUCUGUUAUUAGGGAAGAACAAAUGUGUAAGUAACUAUGCACGUCUUGACGGUACCUAAUCAGAAAGCCACGGCUAACUACGUGCCAGCAGCCGCGGUAAUACGUAGGUGGCAAGCGUUAUCCGGAAUUAUUGGGCGUAAAGCGCGCGUAGGCGGUUUUUUAAGUCUGAUGUGAAAGCCCACGGCUCAACCGUGGAGGGUCAUUGGAAACUGGAAAACUUGAGUGCAGAAGAGGAAAGUGGAAUUCCAUGUGUAGCGGUGAAAUGCGCAGAGAUAUGGAGGAACACCAGUGGCGA
rnacentral:rRNA from 1 species